CUACCCUUUUAAAGUUCAACUCCCCUCGCAGGGGCGCUACCCUUUGGAAUAUGUUAAGUCCCGUGGGCCGUCCCCAUCCCCUCCACCUACCACUUACCCCUCACACCCCGACCUGGAAGAAGCUAGGGCGCGUCCCCAUCUCUCCCCCCUCUCAAAUCCUUUCCCAAAAUCCCCUAGAUCUGAAGAUUUCUUUGGUGGAUUUUGGUCUCCAUCCCUCCCUUAGGUAUGACGUCGUCCGAUCCGAAGGAGAACCCGAGGAAGUGGAAGCACACUGCUGACCUUUGGCCAUACAAUUUUCCCGAAGGGACGGAACAAGCUCGUUGUUGGUGCAGUGACCUUUGUGUCUCCAAGCGAUGUGAUGAUUGGGAUGACAAACAGGGAAGGAGGUUUUGGAUGUGUCCUAACUAUGCACAUGACAAGGCCAAGCCAAGAAACCCAUACGACUACCCACCGUCUCCUCCACCUCUUUGUCAAUUAGUGAAGUGGAUAGAUUUGGAGCAAUCAACUUCUCACAAGGAAGAGGUUGCAUAUGAGGAGGGAAGGAAGUGGAACUAUAUGUUUAAUUUGAUUCGUGAGGAGGAGCGGGAGAAAAAGAUGAAGAUUAGGUUUGAGAAACAACGUUUGGAGAAAGAGAAGAAGGAGCAAGAAGAGAAGGACCUCCGUGAGGCAGAACGGGAGAAAAAGAGAGAGAGGGCUCGUCGUGCAAGGGAGGAUGCGGAAGCGCAAGAAGAUGCAACCAAACGGAAGGGAAAAUA